rnacentral:lncRNA from 1 species
AUGCCAGAGCGCCUUCAAUUUAUUCUGUUAUUCAGGUUUAGCAUCCAUGAUGCACUGGCUCUGCCCUGGUCAGAAAUGAGAUGUGUUACACUUUACUUAAGGCAAGAGAAACCGUGUCCUCAGCACCUUGUUCUUGGCUGUUUUACUCCCGUUAUCAGUAAUGCACAUUCAGCUUGUUCUUCCACCCUGGCUCGAUGUUACAAAUUCAAAGGCAGCGCACUGAGCCCAGCUCUGGCAACCUCACUGACUGACGUUUGUUUUUUAGUGACUGUUAUGCUGGAGGAAGGUGUUCCCUGGACGGUUUUGGAGACAGAAGUGCUGUUUUUGCUAGAGCAGCAAACUGGACUGCAAAAAGCAUUGCCGAAAAGAGCAGCAGAGAAGCUGCCUCUGAGCCUGGGAAACCCCUUCAGAGCUAUAGAGAUCGCACACAGGAAACAAGCACGGCUCCGCUUGUAAGGUGAGUCAGCAUUUUGGGGUGAUUAAAAACGCUUUGCUGGAUGACUUACGUUGUUAUUAGGCCUGUGCAUCUUUUACAUCCUUGCAGCAUAGCAAGUCAGACAGAACAAAUGAAAUAGCUAGUGAUUGUAUGACGAAAAAGAAGGCCUGGUGAUGGAGAUCCCCAGUGAUAUUUUGCUGUUUCUGAGGACAUAGGCAAGGUAGGAUUUUUAACUAGUGAUGAUAUGUUUGUAAAAACUAGAUAAGCUUUCAGAAAUACAAAACCUUCUCUUAGAUACGUAUCAAUUAUAUCACACUUAACUAAACUCUCAACAGUUGUUCUCAGCUUGCGCUUAGUUUGGAGACCUGCUGCUUCCAUUUCAGACCUGAUGGAAGACUUGUGUGCCUGAAAGCUUGCCUAAUUCCUAGCUCUACUGGUUGCUCUAAUAAGAGAAAUUGCCUCCUAUUUACAAAACUUGUUGAGAAACAGGGAUGGCAAUACCUUGUUCUAUUCAAGGUCUUUCCUGUUCAUCCCUAGCAAAAUCCGAAAGUUGGAGUUUUGCUCUACAUUCCCCAAAAUAAUGUGAAGAUAGGAUAAUAGUAGAAAGAUCCUGUUAAUACUUUGCUUGGAAUCCAGAGCAGACUUCCAGUUAUUUCCUAAAACUCCAGGGAGUACCACUGUAACUUUGAGGAGCACAAAACUCGCAUUCUUUGUUCCAGCUUGCUCCACAGUCUCAGUGUUGUGCUGCUUAAUUUCUGAAGGGGAAAAGAACAACCGAGGGAGAUUUCAGGGACUCAGUGUUUUUUC